ACCUACGGGGCGCAGCAGUGGGGAAUAUUGCGCAAUGGGCGAAAGCCUGACGCAGCGACGCCGCGUGAGGGAUGAAGGUCUUCGGAUCGUAAACCUCUGUCAGCAGGGAAGAACGGUCACUGUGCUAAUCAGCAGUGAAUUGACGGUACCUGCAAAGGAAGCACCGGCUAACUCCGUGCCAGCAGCCGCGGUAAUACGGAGGGUGCGAGCGUUAAUCGGAAUUACUGGGCGUAAAGCGUGCGCAGGCGGUCCUGCAAGUCUGGAGUGAAACGCAUGAGCUCAACUCAUGCAUGGCUUUGGAAACU
rnacentral:rRNA from 1 species